rnacentral:rRNA from 1 species
CCUACGGGAGGCAGCAGUGAGGAAUAUUGGUCAAUGGACGAGAGUCUGAACCAGCCAAGUAGCGUGAAGGAUGACUGCCCUAUGGGUUGUAAACUUCUUUUAUAUGGGAAUAAAAUGUUCCACGUGUGGGAUUUUGUAUGUACCAUAUGAAUAAGGAUCGGCUAACUCCGUGCCAGCAGCCGCGGUAAUACGGAGGAUCCGAGCGUUAUCCGGAUUUAUUGGGUUUAAAGGGAGCGUAGGUGGAUUGUUAAGUCAGUUGUGAAAGUUUGCGGCUCAACCGUAAAAUUGCAGUUGAAACUGGCAGUCUUGAGUACAGUAGAGGUGGGCGGAAGUCGUGGUGUAGCGGUGAAAUGCUUAGAUAUCACGAAGAACUCCGAUUGCGAAGGCAGUUCACUGGACUGCAACUGACACUGAGGCUCGAAAGUGUGGGUAUCAAACAGGAUUAGAUACCCUGGUAUC